rnacentral:lncRNA from 10 species
GACACUUUCCCUUGUGGGGCAUGAUAGUGUGUUCCUCGUUGCAGAAGGACCCCUGUAUGCAGAAGUAGAGGCGCUGGCCUCAGGCUCCUCCACUUCCUCUUGGACAGAAGACGCUGAGCAUUUUUUCAGGAAGUGGUCACCCCAGUGGUCCCCGGCUUUCUCAGACUUCCUGCAGCUCUCUACACAGUGAAUCACAGUGAGACACUGGCAGCAGGCACCACGGAAGGGACCCUCAAAUCUGAAGGCUCAAGGUCCUGGGAAAAGAUGAAGUGGAGCAUGCCUCUUGUUUCCUCCUAUUAGAUGCUGAGUGUUGGAAGUUCUUCCUAGGAUUCACAAAGAAACUCCUGCUCUUCUUCCACAUACUUUUUCCUGGGAAAGAAAACUUGUUUCACUGGCAGAAAAGAUCCCCACUGUUAAAGUGAGGUAAAGAAGAUUCUUGCUUCCUCUUUACGCGUCCGCCAUGAUUGUAAGUUUCCUGAGGCUUCCCCAGCCAUGCUGAACUGGUCUUAGAUACAUGAUGGCACUGUUGGCUUCCUGAAGACCUCUUCAUCCUGCAGAAGGUGCAACUCCACAGCAUCCUGAGAGGUUGGACACAAGGCUUGGAAAGAAUGAAUGGUGCCUCUCGGUGAAUUACUACAACCUGAAUCCUGUGACCCCACCUGUGAUGGCCCAAUGUUAUUGAAAUUACUGACUCCAUCCACUUAGCAAGUGGUAAAUACUCUGCAGGCAUAGAUUUGACUAAUGUGUUCUGUUCAGCGCCUAUUUCAACAGAUCUCAGCUGCAGGUUGCUUUCACCCCCGAAGGGACACAAUAGACCGUUAUCUGGCUACCACGGGGUACCUCGACAGUUCUGCCACCAUACACAAUCUUUGCAGGCAGGAUUUGAACUGCAUCUGAC